rnacentral:rRNA from 1 species
GACGAACGCUGGCGGCGUGCUUAACACAUGCAAGUCGAACGGAAAGGCCCUGCUUUUGUGGGGUGCUCGAGUGGCGAACGGGUGAGUAACACGUGAGUAACCUGCCCUUGACUUUGGGAUAACUUCAGGAAACUGGGGCUAAUACCGGAUAGGAGCUCCUGCUGCAUGGUGGGGGUUGGAAAGUUUCGGCGGUUGGGGAUGGGCUCGCGGCUUAUCAGCUUGUUGGUGGGGUAGUGGCUGACCAAGGCUUUGACGGGUAGCCGGCCUGAGAGGGUGACCGGCCACAUUGGGACUGAGAUACGGCCCAGAAGCGUACGGGAGGCAGCAGUGGGGAAUAUUGCACAGUGGGCGGGAGCCUGAUGCAACAACGCCGCGUGCGGGAUGACGGCCUUCGGGUUGUAAACCGCUUUCGCCUGUGACGAAGCGUGAGUGACGGUAAUGGGUAAAGAAGCACCGGCUAACUACGUG